UCUCUUGGGGAAGAGGAUCUCUUUGUAUUUUUCCUAAAGCCGCUGACUCUCCCAUCUGGGUUCCGGAGCAGCUUGUCUGACUUCACCAUGACUCUAACCCCCAGCUGCUGCAAUCACCUUGUUUGAUUUCUCUUCACAAAAUAUAAAAGCUCCCUGAGGAAGCUAUGGAUCUCAUUGAAGAUUCUGCAUAGAAUUCUGGGAUCUGAUGAUAUCACCACCGUGUCACCUAUGAACAAGAGGAUCUGGAGGACUUCAUUUAAGAAUCCAUUUUCCAUUCAAACUUUCCUUGAGAUAUCCUUCCUGGGUUGAGAUGUCAGAGACAAGAAAGCACAAGGUAUUCACAAUAUAAGAAGGCCAACUUCAACCAAAAGUCCAUUGAUGAGA
rnacentral:lncRNA from 1 species